ensembl:lncRNA
AUGUUUAUCUUUAUAAUGUUUUUUUUAUGCUCUUCAACUCAAUAUACAGGUGUAACAAAAUUGAGAACAAGUCUGAGCCAUGCCAGGAAUUCUUCAAAAUGUACACACUGCAGCCCUGCGAUGAGGUUUACAAGAACUGCUUACCAAGUCACCGUAGCCACCAGAUCCAGUCUGUAUGCAGAUCAGAGGGUCACUGCAGUCACCCGCAUCCAGUACGUAUCCAGCCCAGAUGGUGGAUCAGCACCUAGAAAGGACCUCUACAGCCCUGAAAGACAGCGGAGACCAGGACAACUAGAGCCCCAGAGACAGAUCCCCUGUAAAGACCUUGUCUCAGACGACCACCUGGACAAGACCACAGGAAACAGAUGAUUCUUCUGCACAAUCUGACUUUGCUGCAGCCUGGAAUUGAACUGCUGGUUUCGUCUGGUCAGAGGAGAACUGGCCCCCCAACUGAGCCUGGUUUCUCCCAAGGUUUUUCCUCCAUUCUGUCACUGAUGGAGUUUUGGUUCCUUGCCGCUGUCGCCUCUGGCUUGCUUAGG